rnacentral:lncRNA from 1 species
GCAUCGAAGAAACUCAAUAUGGAGUUUUCUUUCAACAUGGCAAGAUUAGCUAUUUGGGCAGGAAACUGCUCUUGCCUGGACUGUUUGUUUCUGUAUAAACUGGACAUGCAGGACCCACAAGAAAGUAACUGCUGAACUUACAAAACAAGACAGUACUUGAAGGGUUCCUGUUGAAAUGAAGAAGUGUGCCAAACACACUAUGGCCUAUGGGCUGAAGAUGGAUGCCCCAACGUUACAGAGGAACUUUGGUUGACUGUCCAGGUAGAGAGAUGUCUCUGUCAAUUCUAGAGUUUAUAUAUUAUCCUUCUGUGGUCUUUGAUAGAGUUGAAGACAGAUAGUUAUGGUUAUAGUUUUUUCAGUUAUUAUAAAAGAUAAGUUAUCCUUCUUUUUAUUUAGACAGAAAAGAGGAGAUGAUGGGGAAUGUACUUCUGUGUAUGUUCAUCUUAUUGAUUGUUGAAUAAAGUACUGUUUGGCCAAUGAGACAGCUAGUUGGGGGGGACUAGGAGUCAAGGAGGAUUCUGGGAAAUGUAGUAAAGAAGUGGUGACCUGCAGGAAGUGACAUAGCAGGGAGACUCAUAUAUAAACAAGGGCAAGAAGGAAGUGGGCCCCCUUUCUCUUCCUCCAGAGUCACCAUGUGAUCCCAGGAUGAGGACACCAAUGGAAGGCUUUCUCACUGAAGUUGGAGCUCACUGAUUGGCCAGACUGGGAGCCACAGGGAUCCUUCCAGUUGCUGAGGUGACAAAUGUGCACUGAGCUUCUCAGUGGUUACUGGGGACCCAAAUUCAGGUCCUCAUAUUUGUUUUUGCCUAGCCAUCUCCCGAAUCCUCUGAACAAGUUCAUGUUUCACGAAGUGUUGUUUUUUAUUAGCUUCCAGUUAUUUGUAAGGGAGUUUUUAAAUACUUUUCUGUUAUCUAAUUUAAUCUUUUCUGUUUUUGCAUGAAUGUAUUCAUUCUAGAUUUAUAAGCAUUUGCUUUAUGUGUCAGAGUAUAAUAUAAUUUAGUAAAUGUACAGUGCUGCCUUGGUGAGAAUGUGUUAUUACUGGGUAUGAGGUUGAUUAAUAUUGUCAAUUUUUCCUGGGUUUGUUUGUUCUUGUUGUUUUUCUAGACAGGUUUCUCUUUGUAUCCCUG